GUGUUUACUUUGGCUGCACAUGUACUAAAAUUGCAACAAUACAGAGAUUAGCAUGAUCACUGUGCAAAAUUGACAUGCAAAUUCAUGAGCUAUUCUAUAUUUUU
ensembl:snRNA U6 U6 spliceosomal RNA